CCUACGGGGGGCAGCAGUGAGGAAUAUUGGUCAAUGGCCGAGAGGCUGAACCAGCCAAGUCGCGUGAGGGAAGACGGCCCUACGGGUUGUAAACCUCUUUUGUCGGGGAGCAAAGCGAACCACGUGUGGUUCAUUGAGAGUACCCGAAGAAAAAGCAUCGGCUAACUCCGUGCCAGCAGCCGCGGUAAUACGGAGGAUGCGAGCGUUAUCCGGAUUUAUUGGGUUUAAAGGGUGCGCAGGCGGAGGUGCAAGUCAGCGGUCAAAUUGCGGGGCUCAACCCCGUACUGCCGUUGAAACUGCAUCCCUUGAGUACAGUUGAGGUAGGCGGAAUUCGUGGUGUAGCGGUGAAAUGCUUAGAUAUCACGAAGAACUCCGAUUGCGAAGGCAGCUUACUAAACUGCCACUGACAUUGAUGCUCGAAAGUGUGGGUAUCAAACAGGAUUAGAUACCCGGGUAGUC
rnacentral:rRNA from 1 species